rnacentral:rRNA from 1 species
AAUCAAUGCUGGCGGCGUGCCUCAGACAUGCAAGUCGAACGCGAAAGUCCCCUUCGGGGGACAAGUAGAGUGGCGCACGGGUGAGUAACACGUAGGUAAUCUACCUUUGGAUGGGGAAUAACAACCGGAAACGGUUGCUAAUACCGCAUAAUGCAGCGGCACCUAAUGGUGACAGUUGUUAAAGCGGGGGAUCGAAAGACCUCGCGUCUGAAGAGGAGCCUGCGGCGGAUUAGCUAGUUGGUAAGGUAAUGGCUUACCAAGGCUACGAUCCGUAACCGGCCUGAGAGGGCGGUCGGUCACACUGACACUGACAUACGGGUCAGACUCCUACGGGAGGCAGCAGUCGGGAAUUUUGGGCAAUGGGCGAAAGCCUGACCCAGCAACGCCGCGUGAAGGAU